CCUCUUCAUCUCAAAACGUGUUCAUUUUUCAAACUGCUUCACAAACAAGUAAGAUAAUACAUUUUCAGAUAUUAGCUGCAAUGGGAUUGAUACUAAGUUUCGGAAGUUUGAGACUACCAAUCUGCCAUAUUACGGGCUUUAUUAAAAGGGUUCAAUCUGAGAUUGAUGGUUUACAGCAGACGAAGUUAAUUCAACCAAAUGUGAAUUGGUUCUGCACAAAUCUUUCACGAAUUUUACUGGUCUUUCGGAAAUUGUUGGAUUCAAAGGCAGAGAUACAUUAUCAAGAAGAAUGACGGAGAGAGAAGAAAAUGGGGACCUAUAGAAGAAGGAAAUAAAGAGGGAAAAACAAAACGAUGACAAAUUAUAUAUGGCUUUUAUGAAUUCACAUUUUCAUUAAGAAGGUUGAGUCUCCAAAGUGAUCAAUAUCAUCUUGAAGUUUCAAAAAUUUAUCUUUAGUGACUUUUUCCGCUAAAUUUAAUCCUUUUUAUGGUGCUCUUUUUGUUGUUUCACAUUUGAUGUAGAUUUAACAUUUGUAAAUAUUAAUUAUUUGUUCUUGUAUCCGACGAAUUGUAUAAUCCCUUAAUUAAAUUGAAGAGAAAAGAACAAUUCUUGCCCUUGUGCUUUUCA